GUUUGAUCCUGGCUCAGGAUGAACGCUAGCGGCAGGCUUAACACAUGCAAGUCGAGGGGUAUGGUUCUUCGGAACCAGAGACCGGCGCACGGGUGCGUAACGCGUAUGCAAUCUACCUUUCACAGAGGGAUAGCCCAGAGAAAUUUGGAUUAAUACCUCAUAGUAUAAUGAUAUGGCAUGAUUCUAUUAUUAAAGUCACAACGGUGAAAGAUGAGCAUGCGUCCCAUUAGCUAGAUGGUAAGGUAACGGCUUACCAAGGCUACGAUGGGUAGGGGUCCUGAGAGGGAGAUCCCCCACACUGGUACUGAGACACGGACCAGACUCCUACGGGAGGCAGCAGUGAGGAAUAUUGGACAAUGGGCGCAAGCCUGAUCCAGCCAUGCCGCGUGCAGGAUGACGGUCCUAUGGAUUGUAAACUGCUUUUGCACAGGAAGAAACACUACUUCGUGAAGUAGCUUGACGGUACUGUGAGAAUAAGGA
rnacentral:rRNA from 1 species